rnacentral:rRNA from 1 species
UACGUAGGUGGCAAGCGUUGUCCGGAUUUACUGGGCGUAAAGGGCGUGCAGGCGGUCUGUUAAGUGCAGGGUGAAAGCUCCCGGCUCAACUGGGAGAGGUCCUUGCAUACUGGCGGACUUGAGGGGGGUAGAGGAAGGUGGAAUUCCCGGUGUAGUGGUGAUAUGCGUAGAUAUCGGGAGGAACACCUGUGGCGAAGGCGGCUUUCUGGGCCCUACCUGACGCUGAGACGCGAAAGCGUGGGGAGCGAACCGG